rnacentral:siRNA from 1 species
UGGAAGUGUGACUUUCUGUUC